AGCAGGUUAAUCUAAAAAAGAUUUUGAAUUUCAAAUUCAACUAUAGGCUGUUUGCUUGCUUGCUG
rnacentral:tRNA from 1 species